CUCGGAAGAGACCGAGCCCCAGGGCCGCCGUGCCCUCUGGGUGGUUGUGAGGCUGUGCAGGCAGCGGCUUCUGCCCUCUUUCUUUCCCUGACUUAUUGGGUCCGGCCUCCGAGGCCUGUACCCCGCCUUUUCCGCACAGGCAUGUGACCAGGGUCUCCCGCGGAGUUUUGCUGAAAAUUUUGGAAAUGAAGCACGUGGAGCGCCUGUGUCGGGGGAGAGAGGCCGAGAUGAAGGAGCACGGGCGCCGGCCUCAGCCUCUGGGGAGCCGGGCCCGCUCGCCUCCCUGCGCGGGGCUAGCCCGAGCCUGGAACUCAGGAGGCCCAGGAGCGAAGUGAAAGCCCGUUCUGGUCCCCCAGGGCUCCACUCCCGCAGCAGCCCGGCUCCAUCGGCGUCAGUGGAGCCCCAGGCCUGGGUCCGAGAUGAGCGAGACGCUGCCCUGGCUCGCGGUCGCCCGAGCGCUCCCAAAACCAGGGAACAGGUCUCAGGAGAGAAGCCCCUGGAAGUUUCCUGGAGCAGGGAAUCUCCACGAUCUUGUGAGCUCUGCAAAGGAAUCUGGACUUUAUUCGGAGGGCCUUGGAGAACCCCUGCAAAGUUUUUUGAAAGGUGGACUAAGAGAUUGGCAUUUCACAACAUGAUUCUCCGAAUUGAAACACUAAUAAGAGAAGAUUGGCAAAAUUUAACAUUUACAGAUUAGUAAUUUAACCCAGGUGACCCGCGAUGAGGGACAUGGCUACCCUUCACUUUUGGAGGAAGUUUUAAGUGAUACAGAUCUUUUUGCCAAGCAAUAUUUUUUUUUGAGAGGGAGCCUCGCUCUGUCGCCCUGGCUGGAGUGCAAUGACGUGAUCUCGGCUCACUGCAACUUCCGCCUCCUGAGUUCAAGCGAUUCUCCUGCCUCAGCCUCACCUAGUAGCUGGGAUUACAGGCGCGCGCCACCAGGCCCGGCUAAUUUUUUUGUAUUUUUAGUAGAGACAGGGUUUCACCAUGUUGGCCAGGCUGGUCUCGAACUCCUGACCUCAGGUGAUCCGCCUGCCUGGACCUCGCAAAGUGUUGAGAUUAACAGGCGUGAGCCACUGCGCCCAGCAGCAAUUUAAAGAUCUAAUAAAAUUGUGUAUAUCCCCCAAAACAAUAAUGUCACUUCUUGGUUGAUAGCCACGUUUGUUUACAAAGGCAUGUGCCAAGAUUUUCACUGCAGCUUUGUCAGCAUUGCUAGAAGAUUUAAAACCCGAACACUUAAUGUUCAUGAAUUGAUAAGCUGUUUAACAGUGAUAUACACGUAAUAUAGAAUAUUAUGCAGCAUGCCGGGCGCGGUAGCUCACGCAUGUAAUCCCAGCAUUUUGGGAGGCCGAGGUGGGUGGAUCACCUGAGGUCAGGAGUUCGCACGAGCAGCCGGAGCAACAUGCGAAACCCCGUCUCUACAAAAAAAAUUCAAAAACUAGCCAGACGUGGUGGCACACGCCUGUAAUCCCAGCACUUUGGGAGGCUGAGGUGGGAAAAUCACUUGAGCUCAGAAGGCAGAGGUUGCGGCUAGUGGAGAUCUGCACUACAGCUUGGACACCAAGCUGCCACCAAGGUGCUUGGUCCUUCCGAGGAAGCUAAGGCCACGUUGGGGUGAGGCCAUCACUUCAUCCAGCGACUAGCGCCGCCUCUGGCAACGCCAGCCCCACACUCGCCCACGCCAUGGCCACCAUCUCCAAGCUUGCCUGCAUCUACUUGGCCCUCAUUCUGCACGACGAUGAGGUGAUCGUCAUGGAGGUUAAUAUCAAUACCCUCAUUAAAGCAGCCAGUGUAAAUGUUGAACCUUUUGGCCUGGCUUGUUUGCAAAGGCUCUGGCCAACGUCAACAUUGGAAGCCUCAUCUGCAAUGUAGGGGCUGGUGGACCUGCUCUAGCAGCUGGUGCUGCACCAGCAGGAGGUCCUGCCCCCUCCAUUGCUGCUGCUUCAGCUAAGGAGAAGAAAAUGGAAGCAAAGAAAGAAGAAUCUGAGGAGUAUGAUGAUGACAUGGGAUUUGGUCUUUUUAACUAAACCUGUUUUAUGAUGUGUUCAAUAAAAAGCUGAACUUUA